rnacentral:tRNA from 1 species
CGGGAAGUAGCUCAGCUUGGUAGAGCACAUGGUUUGGGACCAUGGGGUAGCAGUUUCGAAUCCUGUCUUCCCGACCA